CAAGCAGACCCCCACCUUUUCUCUAGUCCAGUAUAUGAAAUGAUAUGUCUAGUUCCUCUCGCUGCUAGUGGGUGGCUAUUUGUCGGGGGAACAUCAGCACUUAGCACAUGAAAUGGAAGCUUCUACAAAAUCUUUAGCUUUCGACGUUGUGUUAGUUUUUCAUAGCACAGACAAAGGCAGCUUACUGAUGAAGAACACAUUUCAAACAGUGUUCUUUCUAAAUGGUUUUUACAUAAUAUAUUCAUAUUGGUGUGGGUGGCGGUGAUAAGACUAAUCUUAGCUUAAUAAUGCUUCUUUUUAAAUUGGUAGGACAUUUUUGCAUAUGUAGAAUCAUACACUUGUUUUUCUUUCGAAAAUAACCUCGCAUAAUGUGAUUUCACCUACUUCUGCGAUACAAAUAAUAACCUUGCACACACCCACUAGCAGUAACACAUUUUUCUGGGCAACUUGUAGUUUCUAUUUUUUGUUUAAGAAAUAUUGAUUACGAUGACAACUACACUAUUUUUCACCCGCAAUUAUGCCUAUUCCUUGUAGCAUUUCUAUAGCUUAUGAUAAGCAAUUUUCAGUUUCCUUUUAGAUUAAAUUUGCAUUCAUCCAUCUCUUUUACUGAGUUUAUUUUUUCUGCAUAGUCUUUGGCUUUUUGCAUUAAUGCAUGGAAGAUAGUUUUUAUCUUGCAUUCCUCAAACUGGUUGCAUGCAUGUUCAUCAUUAGCACUCUAAUAAAUUUCAAUAGGGAUUUUAAUACUAUCCAACUAGCAUUUAAAAUGUUCACACGAACCAAUUUAGAAAAGUUUCUGCUUUUUGCUUAUUAGUACAUAAGCAUUGCAUGCAACUUAUGCUAAACUAGCAUUUUUAUAAAACUUAUAAGCAUUUAUAGGUAGGAAUUAAGCAACAAUAUUAUUACAGAUGGACAAUAAUAUAGUUUCCAAUAAGCAUUUUCCCUAUAUGUAACAACAAAAAUAUCAACACUAGGUAAACAUUUAGGCAAUUUAUAUGUAGGAAUUAGAGAAUAAUAUAAUUACAGAUGGGCAAUGAUAUGGUUCCAUAAGCAUCCCCCCCCCCGGUUCAUUGUUUGUGUCUAGUUUGCUGGUUAGUUGUACAGCUAGGCAUGAACAAGCUCACACAAGGCUUGAAUUGGUGGAUUUGCUGGCUAUUAAUACUGAUUCAAUUCCUUGUAUUGCUGUUAGCUAUCCUCAUCAAUUUAGGUGAUUUUGCUGGUUAUUAAUAGUGAUUCAAUUUUUUGUUUUGUUGGUUAUCUAUCUUCAUCAAUUUAGGCAAUUUUCUGGUUAUUCAUAUUGAUUCAAUUCCUUGUUUUAGUGUCAUAGCAGACUCACACAAAUCUAAUGAUUGUACUGGUCCAUACUGUUUUGGUGCUAGAGAAUAAGGCCUGAAGAUUUAUAUUUCACACAAAAAUGGUGUUCGGAACUUGAAACCUGAUUUUCCUUUUCUUUUUGUCUGCAAGAUUCCUCAACAAAUCGGCACUAUAACCCGCCAUGUAGCUGUAAGGCUCCCAUCAUUGUAUUUUUUUUUUGGUGCCAAGGUGAGCUUUCCUCUGCCUCUCUCCUUUGUGCUCCCACCACUGUCCUGUAAGUAUCAGCAAAAUAAGUCAUUUUAAAAGGCAAUAAUGUGUUUCUAAAUAGGCAGAUCAGUGUUUCUUGGUCAGUCAAUUAUGCAUAUUCUUUUUCUUCCCGAUUUCUUACUUAACCAGCAUCGAAAUCCCUAAUGAAUAUAUUUUUUGCAUUUAAUCAGGUCUACAACAUUUCAUUAUACAUAUGGAGAUGGAGGGCAAUGAGGUGUAUCAACCCAUCAGUUCGGAAACUUCAACACAUGUUGUUUAGUUUGUCCAUCAAAAGCAACUUUUCAGCAUCACAACAAAUCUGUCCUGAGGCAAUGUGUGUUUGUGUUAAUAAGAUUUUGUAGUUCUUUCUUGUGAGAUGCAUGCGUAUCACAACAGAGUCAUGAAAGUUUAAUAUUUGUCUGUGAUGUAGUUUUUUAGUCAAGGAAUGAGGGAGAGGCAAAUCAAUGUGUAAAUAGACUCCUGUAAACUAAAUUGAUAUGCUUAUCACAUUUGGCAGUUCUGUAA